rnacentral:rRNA from 2 species
GUGACUGCGUACCUUUUGUAUAAUGGGUCAGCGACUUAUAUUCUGUAGCAAGGUUAACCGUAUAGGGGAGCCGGAGGGAAACCGAGUCUUAAUUGGGCGUUAAGUUGCAGGGUAUAGACCCGAAACCCGGUGAUCUAGCCAUGGGCAGGUUGAAGGUUGGGUAACACUAACUGGAGGACCGAACCGACUAAUGUUGAAAAAUUAGCGGAUGACCUGUGGCUGGGGGUGAAAGGCCAAUCAAACCGGGAGAUAGCUGGUUCUCCCCGAAAGCUAUUUAGGUAGCGCCUCGUGAAUUCAUCUCCGGGGGUAGAGCACUGUUUCGGCUAGGGGGCCAUCCCGGCUUACCAACCCGAUGCAAACUGCGAAUACCGGAGAAUGUUAUCACGGGAGACACACGGCGGGUGCUAACGUCCGUCGUGAAGAGGGAAACAACCCAGACCGCCAGCUAAGGUCCCAAAGUCAUGGUUAAGUGGGAAACGAUGUGGGAAGGCCCAGACAGCCAGGAUGUUGGCUUAGAAGCAGCCAUCAUUUAAAGAAAGCGUAAUAGCUCACUGGUCGAGUCGGCCUGCGCGGAAGAUGUAACGGGGCUAAACCAUGCACCGAAGCUGCGGCAGCGACACUAUGUGUUGUUGGGUAGGGGAGCGUUCUGUAAGCCUGUGAAGGUGUGUCGUGAGGCAUGCUGGAGGUAUCAGAAGUGCGAAUGCUGACAUAAGUAACGAUAAAGCGGGUGAAAAGCCCGCUCGCCGGAAGACCAAGGGUUCCUGUCCAACGUUAAUCGGGGCAGGGUGAGUCGACCCCUAAGGCGAGGCCGAAAGGCGUAGUCGAUGGGAAACGGGUUAAUAUUCCCGUACUUGGUGUUACUGCGAAGGGGGGACGGAGAAGGCUAUGUUGGCCGGGCGACGGUUGUCCCGGUUUAAGCGUGUAGGUGUGUGUUCCAGGUAAAUCCGGUCCACUUUAACACUGAGGCGUGAUGACGAGGCACUACGGUGCUGAAGCAACAAAUGCCCUGCUUCCAGGAAAAGCCUCUAAGCAUCAGGUAACAUCAAAUCGUACCCCAAACCGACACAGGUGGUCAGGUAGAGAAUACCAAGGCGCUUGAGAGAACUCGGGUGAAGGAACUAGGCAAAAUGGUGCCGUAACUUCGGGAGAAGGCACGCUGACACGUAGGUGAAGUGAUUUACUCACGGAGCUGAAGUCAGUCGAAGAUACCAGCUGGCUGCAACUGUUUAUUAAAAACACAGCACUGUGCAAACACGAAAGUGGACGUAUACGGUGUGACGCCUGCCCGGUGCCGGAAGGUUAAUUGAUGGGGUCAGCGCAAGCGAAGCUCCUGAUCGAAGCCCCGGUAAACGGCGGCCGUAACUAUAACGGUCCUAAGGUAGCGAAAUUCCUUGUCGGGUAAGUUCCGACCUGCACGAAUGGCGUAAUGAUGGCCAGGCUGUCUCCACCCGAGACUCAGUGAAAUUGAACUCGCUGUGAAGAUGCAGUGUACCCGCGGCAAGACGGAAAGACCCCGUGAACCUUUACUAUAGCUUGACACUGAACAUUGAGCCUUGAUGUGUAGGAUAGGUGGGAGGCUUUGAAGCGUGGACGCCAGUCUGCGUGGAGCCGACCUUGAAAUACCACCCUUUAAUGUUUGAUGUUCUAACGUGGACCCGUAAUCCGGGUUGCGGACAGUGUCUGGUGGGUAGUUUGACUGGGGCGGUCUCCUCCUAAAGAGUAACGGAGGAGCACGAAGGUUGGCUAAUCCUGGUCGGACAUCAGGAGGUUAGUGCAAUGGCAUAAGCCAGCUUGACUGCGAGCGUGACGGCGCGAGCAGGUGCGAAAGCAGGUCAUAGUGAUCCGGUGGUUCUGAAUGGAAGGGCCAUCGCUCAACGGAUAAAAGGUACUCCGGGGAUAACAGGCUGAUACCGCCCAAGAGUUCAUAUCGACGGCGGUGUUUGGCACCUCGAUGUCGGCUCAUCACAUCCUGGGGCUGAAGUAGGUCCCAAGGGUAUGGCUGUUCGCCAUUUAAAGUGGUACGCGAGCUGGGUUUAGAACGUCGUGAGACAGUUCGGUCCCUAUCUGCCGUGGGCGCUGGAGAACUGAGGGGGGCUGCUCCUAGUACGAGAGGACCGGAGUGGACGCAUCACUGGUGUUCGGGUUGUCAUGCCAAUGGCACUGCCCGGUAGCUAAAUGCGGAAGAGAUAAGUGCUGAAAGCAUCUAAGCACGAAACUUGCCCCGAGAUGAGUUCUCCCUGAGACUUAGAGUCUCCUGAAGGAACGUUGAAGACGACGACGUUGAUAGGCCGGGUGUGUAAGCGCAGCGAUGCGUUGAGCUAACCGGUACUAAUGAACCGUGAGGCUUAACCUUACAACGCCGAAG